UACAGAUCGGGACUAGGGCGAUGUUUCCACGACUUAGAUUUAAGAGUAGGGAAGGACCAGGGUGAGAGGAAAGAGCAACGAGGCCAAAUCUGAGAUGGGGUCAUCGGCGUGUUCAAGAAGCAGCGGGUAUAGUGACCCGUCGUGGUGGGGUGGACCUGUAGGGGAGAGGGAGGAGGCCAGCAAGAGUGUUUGCAGGAUGAAAAACUGCUAAUAUGGUACUCCAAAGAGAGGGGGGAAAGUCUGAGCUUGAGUUCUAUGUCGAGUGUGGUUCUCAGACAGAAAACGGAAUGUGGUUUUCUUCCCCAAACGCUUAUUGUUAUGAUUUAAGUAUACGAAGACAUACAUAUUCUUAGAAUAUCUGUAUUUGCAGGCAAACCUUUUGCACUUGCAUUGGCCAGAAAAGGAACAUCACUCCUCAUCAGUCAUAUACACGAAUGGUGAAUGCUCACCGGACUUGAUCUGCAAAGACAAGGACCAAGCUGACUGUUGGUAUCUAGGUCUAACAACCUUGGUAUCUGCUCUAUAUAGUCCUCUUCUUUUGGUUGAUUCAACAAGCAACCGUCGAAUAAACAGUUGAGCAAAUAGCCCUCCUGGCUAUUCAGCAAAGGAAUAGGCUAUUUUCAGUGCAUGACACAAGAAAGUUCACCCAGAAAAUAGCAAAGGAAGUAGCUUGUCGUUUGAAUAUCCCAAGCACGGACUGGUGGGAACUACAGUUUGGCAAGCAGCGCUUCUGAGUAUGACGAACAAUCACAUAACGUCUUCAUCUUGUUCAAGCAUGGAUGCAAGACAUUUCUCUUGAAAACAGGACUUGAAGUUGGUACAAAUGUCCUACUUACAUUCAAGAUGAACGUUGGCAAUGAGUUGUAUAUGAUAGUUUCCGUCCAUGACAUCUGAGAGGUUCAUAGGUCCUAAUUGAGGUUAUCUUUAGUUCAUUAGUUUUUAUCUCUGCUAUGUUAGCUCUUUUGUGAGGGUCCAAUUUGUAGACCGGCUUAGAAGAAACACGCUUCAACUAUUUUUAAAGCACUUAGAUCAAAAGAUUUUCUUAUGUUAGGAGGUGAUCCAGGUUUAUUGGAGAAGUACAUGCUAACCACCAAUUUGUUUUCU
rnacentral:rRNA from 1 species